GUAACACGUGGUCAACCUGCCCUGGAGACAUGGAAAACCCCGGGAAACUGGGAUUAAUCCGUGAUAGGUCACCUCAUCUGGAAGGAGAGAUGGCCUAAAGGGGUGCGAGAGCUUCUUUCUUGCAUUCGCUCCAGGAUGGGACUGCGGCCGAUCAGGCUGUUGGCGGUGUAAUGGACCACCAAACCUGUAACCGGUACGGGCCUUGAGAGAGGGGGCCCGGAGAUGGACACUGAGAGAAGGGUCCAGGUCCUACGGGGCGCAGCAGGCGCGAAACCUUCGCAAUGCGCGAAAGCGUGACGAGGUUAAUCCGAGUGGUCCCCGCUGAGGGGAUCUUUUGUUGGCUGUAAAAAGGCCGAUGAAUAAGGGGAGGGCAAGUCUGGUGUCAGCCGCCGCGGUAAUACCAGCUCCUCGAGUGGUCGGGGCGAUUAUUGGGCCUAAAGCAUCCGUAGCCGGUUCUGUAGGUCCUCUGUCAAAUCCAACGGCUUAACCGUUGGGCCGCAGAGGAUACCGCAGGACU
rnacentral:rRNA from 1 species